UACGUAGGUGGCAAGCGUUGUCCGGAAUUAUUGGGCGUAAAGGGCGCGUAGGCGGCCAUGCGUGUCUUCCGUGAAAUCCCUCGGCUUAACUGAGGACGUGCGGAAGAAACUGCAAGGCUUGAGUCCGGGAGAGGGGGGUGGAAUUCCCAGUGUAGCGGUGAAAUGCGUAGAUAUUGGGAGGAACACCGGUGGCGAAGGCGGCCCCCUGGACCGGUACUGACGCUGAGGCGCGAAAGCGUGGGUAGCAAACGGG
rnacentral:rRNA from 1 species